ACCUGGCUGGCUCAGUUGGUAGAGCAUGCCACUCUUGAUCUCAGGGAUGUGAGUUUGAGCCCCAUGUCGGGUG
rnacentral:tRNA from 1 species